AUGUAUAGGUGGUGAGCCUUCUAACAAGGGUAAAGAGAUUGUGCCCAAAGAUCGAGAAUAGAAGUAUAUCGAACUCCUAGUACUGUGAGUAACCUUACUAUCAUCUUAAUUAUCUAGAGUGGUUUUUAUUCGAUUUUGUGAUUUGAUAAAAAAUGAGUUUAAAUGGUAAAUUUUUAGGUUUUAUAAACAAAAUGUGUUUAAAUAAAAUGAUUUCAUAAAUGGUCUUAAAAUUGAAUGAAGGCUUUGAAAAUGGAGUAAUUGGAGACCAUUUAAUGUAUUGUAAAUUUAUGGUUCUAAUUGAUUGGCUUAUGACAAUAUUGGCAUGAAUGGCUGAAUUGGUAUUUGUGUUGAAAUGUAUAAACUGUUGUUUGCCUUGAUAGGCUGGAUAAUGAUAAAAUCGCCAUAUCAUGUUGUUGAAUUUUUAUUGUAUGGUGGGUUUAGCUUGCUGCAGUGGGCUGGUUCUGUGGACCAACCUAUUAGAAGGGCACGGAACCUGGUCAUAUAUAUGUACCUCGAUUAGAGAGGCGCGUAGGGUAACUCCCGAGGUCAAACUUUAGAGUUCACUUCACGCCCAACCACCACGUGAGGGGAACUCAGCCAACGCCAAGGAACGACUACGUUUUCAAAAUAAAAACAUGAUU
rnacentral:lncRNA from 1 species